rnacentral:rRNA from 1 species
UACGAAGGGAGCUAGCGUUGUUCGGAAUCACUGGGCGUAAAGCGCACGUAGGCGGAUGUGUCAGUCGGAGGGAAAUCCCGGAGCUCAACUUCGGAACUGCCUUUGAUACAGCACGUCUUGAGUCCGAUAGAGGUGGGUGGAAUUCCUAGUGUAGAGGUGAAAUUCGUAGAUAUUAGGAAGAACACCGGUGGCGAAGGCGGCCCACUGGAUCGGUACUGACGCUGAGGUGCGAAAGCGUGGGGAGCAAACAGG